GUUACAGGUUGAAAGAAUGAAUGAGCGACACAGGAUGAAAGACAGCAAGGGAACAGGCUACUGGGGAGAUACCUGUAACAACAUCACCAACCACAGUUGGGGUAAUGGAGAAUUUCUAAAAAAAAAAAAAAAAAGGCCUUACUACUUUCUGAUCAUAUCUUAGAUAUGUCAUAAGCCAAACAUCCUACUUUGAGUCAACUCAAGUCAAUGGGGUAUAUCAUCUAUAAGAAAAAUGUGGGAUAUUUGGGAACAUCUACAGAAACACUAUAAAGUAGAACUAUAAGAUGAAUACCCCUGAACUACAUGAAAAGUUAAAAUUAUACUCUCCUGUACCAGAAAGAGAGCUACGAUCAAGAGGACUUUAUUUAUGG